rnacentral:rRNA from 1 species
AAGGAAUAUUGGUCAAUGGACGCAAGUCUGAACCAGCCAUGCCGCGUGAAGGAUGAAGGUCCUCUGGAUUGUAAACUUCUUUUAUCUGGGACGAAAACGGGAUUUUUAUCUCAAUUGACGGUACCAGAGGAAUAAGCACCGGCUAACUCCGUGCCAGCAGCCGCGGUAAUAUGGAGGGUGCGAGCGUUAUCCGGAUUUACUGGGUUUAAAGGGUGCGUAGGUGGGCUUAUAAGUCAGUGGUGAAAUCUCCGAGCUUAACUUGGAAACUGCCGUUGAUACUAUAGGUCUUGAAUUAUCUGGAGGUAAGCGGAAUAUGUCAUGUAGCGGUGAAAUGCUUAGAUAUGACAUAGAACACCAAUUGCGAAGGCAGCUUACUACAUAUAAAUUGACGCUGAGGCACGAAAGCGUGGGGAUCAAACA